GACGAACGCUGGCGGCGUGCUUAACACAUGCAAGUCGAACGAAGUGGCGAACGGGUGAGUAACGCCUAAUCAACCUGCCCUUCAGAGGGGGACAACAGUUGUAAACGACUGCUACUACCGCAUACUGAAGGAGUGGAUUGCGUCGUAUUAGCUAGUUGGAGGGGUAACGGCCCACCAAGGCGAUGAUCAGUAGCCGGUCUGAGAGGAUGAACGGCCACAUUGGGACUGAGACACGGCCCAGACUCCUACGGGAGGCAGCAGUGGGGAAGCUUCCGCAAUGGACGAAAGUCUGACGGAGCAACGCCGCGUGAGUGAUGACGGCCUUCGGGUUGUAAAGCUCUGUUAAUCGGGACGCGGUACCGGAAUAGAAAGCCACGGCUAACUACGUGCCAGCCGCCGCGGUAAUUC
rnacentral:rRNA from 1 species